CAAGCAUUGUGUUGGUCUGUUACCACUUCCCACCCAAUUCCAUUGAUACAACAAAAGAAAGAUGAUACUUUUCCUUCAGAUAAUUGUUUAUUCAGCUAUCCUAAGGGGUGUACAAUCAGCUGUUCAACUGGUGGAGUCUGGAGGAGGUGUCAAAAGGCCUGGAGACUCCCUUCGCCUCUCCUGCCAGGCAUCUGGGUUCACCUUCAGUAGCUAUGGCAUGAACUGGGUGCGACAGGCUCCUGGGAAGGGGCUGGAAUGGAUUGCAGUUAUAUGGUAUGAUGGGAGCAAGCAAUUCUAUGCAGACACAGUGAAAGGGCGCUUCACCAUCUCCAGGAACAACCCUUCAAACAUGCUAUAUCUGCAAAUGAACAACUUAAGACCAGAGGACACUGCCGUGUAUUACUGUGCAAAAGACACAGUGAGGGGAAGUGAAUCUGAAGCCAGACAAAAACAAAACUUAGUCAUAACAAAUUUCUGA